UCAAACAAACAAACAAACAAAAAGUGGAACACAUUAGCAUUGGAAGCUGCCACUUGCAUUGUUAAUACCUUUGAAUUGCAUCAUCAAUUCAAAGCUAUUGGAGGGAACAUCUGUGGCUGUUGGCCCUGGGUUUCCACCAGCCCUGGGCUGGUUAGAGUUUCUACCCAUUCUAGUUCAUGUAUAAUGCUGAGAUGUUCACCCCAGUCAUGAAGACUGCUCCAGCCAAGACCCUGGGCUCUAGUGGUCCCCAGGCCUGUGGGAGGGAAGCUCGUCUGUGCUGUCACAUAAGCCUCAGGCUCUGCCCCUCUUUCUCCCAGAGGUCAUUUCUAGAGCUUCCCCAGAGGGUUCAGAUUAUCCCUCUGUGACAUCUAAUCUCCUGCCUUAGGCAGCCUGAUCCUGGGCUAAGUCUCUCCUGGCCGGGGAGCCUCUCACCCGGCCUCUUUCAAAUCCCACAGUGCAGACCUUGGCAGUGUGGAGGGAGAGAGCCUGGUUCUUCCAGCCAACCCUGGGCAGCCUCCUGGUGCCCCAGGAUAGAAAAAACACUCGCAUUUCUUUGCACCAUUGACCCCAUCACCGCAGCACCAGAGCAUCUGACAUCUGCAAAACAUCAUUAGAGGCUGAUCCAGCUGCCCAGCUGCCCACCUCAGCAUUGGGAAUGGAAGGCAACGUGAUUGAUGAGGCUAUGGACAUAUCCAACAGCUUAGAGAUGCCCACACAUGCCAGCCAGCGCCCAGCCUUGGAAGGGAGAAGGGAAAGCCGACUGAGCCCCUCUUAUCUGUCAUGUUCUGUGCUGGAUGGGGCUUUGCCACAAUGCUGUGCAGUUGGAAACAGCCUCACUCCAUAGAUGAGGAAACUGAGGCUCAAAGAGGUCGAAUAGCCUGCCAGAACUGUGCAGCUGGAAGCCGUAGAGCAAGGUUUGGCCUCUCUUUACUCUGCUCCCCAUCACUCUGCAAGGGAUACAGUGGGGGAACAAGAGCGGCUUGGAGCCCCUUAUUCAGACUCAACAAAGGCACCCAGCUAAGAAGCUAAGUGUCUUUCCCGCCAGUGGAAACCAGAGGGUAAACAGGAUUCCAUUCAUGCCCAGGGCUUUCCGGGAACACACCUGUCCAAGCAGCAGCAGUUCCCAACAGAGCUCUGGUCCGGAAAGCCAGACAACCAGGGCUGGGCCCUGUGGGAUUUGUUUAGUGAUCUGACCAUGUGGGAGGCCUAGAGUAGGAGUGUGGUGGGGGGAGGGUGCCGCCCAGCCUCAUUGCAUCACUCACCGCCCAGACCUUCCCCUCACCCGCUCCUGACCAGGCCCUGUCCAGGUUCUCAGCCACCCUGCCGCGGUGGGUCCUUCGGACUACCCACUGACCGAGUGAAGGACUGACCCGAGGUUUGAGUGCUGCGUUGUAUGUGACCUGAGAAUAUGUGUGCACAGACUGUGCCCCCGUGUCCUUGCACAGUUGAGCGUCUACAUGUCCUGCCCGUGUGUAGGCAGCCUGUCCCUACACGCUAGGAGAGUGACUCCAUGUCCUGCUAGAUGGGGGAGGAGAGAGGGACUUGUGUCCAGGGUCCCCUGGUCACUUCUAUGGGCGCAUGUUUGUGUGUCUUGUUAGGGGUGCUUGAAGGUGUGGAAGCCUGUGUCCUGGGUGCCCUUGACCUGUGUGUGCGCUCCAUGAGGUGUGCGCGCGUGUGCACGGGGGGUGCGCUGUGUCACGGCACCCUCAACCAACUCUACGUGCGCAUGCAGACGUUUGUAUGUGUGUCCUACGGUGUCAGCGAGCGGAUGCUUCCACCACGUCUCUCUGCACACGCGUGUGUGCACUUGCACACCUGCGUGCGUCCCGAGAGAGCGAGCAGAGCCCGGCGUGGGCUGGCAGGCGUGGGAACGUGUGGGUGCGCGUCCUGCGGGUCCCUGCCCGCCUGGCUCCCCGCUUGUACCGCGGCCGUGCAUGAGCGGAAGGCGCCGGGCGGCCCUGCCCGGCCGGAGUGUGCGCGCGCGGGGUCCCGGGCCGGCGUGCGCGCCGGUGUGAGUGCGAGUGAGUGUGGCGCCGCGCGGCUCCCUCCGCUCCGCGCCGCCCGCGCAGUCCGCACACUCACCCUGCUUGGCUGCUGCCGGGUGACGCGGGCUGGGCCCGCCCCCUGCCUGCCGGCCCCUGGCGCUCUCUCCAGCCGUCCGCAGC